rnacentral:rRNA from 1 species
AUACGUAGGGUGCAAGCGUUAAUCGGAAUUACUGGGCGUAAAGCGUGCGCAGGCGGUUUUGUAAGACAGUGGUGAAAUACCCGGGCUCAACCUGGGGACUGCCAUUGUGACUGCAAGGCUGGAGGGCGGCAGAGGGGGAUGGAAUUCCGCGGGGAGCAGUGAAAUGCGUAGAUAUGCGGAGGAACACCGAUGGCGAAGGCAAUCCCCUGGGCCUGCACUGACGCUCAUGCACGAAAGCGUGGGGAGCAAACAGGAUUAGAUACCCUGGUAGUCCACGCCCUAAACGAUGUCAACUGGUUGUUGGGAAUUUAUUUUCUCAGUAACGAAGCUAACGCGUGAAGUUGACCGCCUGGGGAGUACGGCCGCAAGGUUAAAACUCAAAUGAAUUGACGGGG